AGACGUUGGCGGCGUGGAUUAGGCAUGCGAGUCGCGCGAGAAUGUAGCAAUACAGGAAAGCGGCGAAAGGGAGAGGAAUAGGUGGGAAUCUGCCCCUGGGUCGGGGAUAGCUACGGGAAACUGUAGGUAAUACCCGAUAACGUCUUCGGACCAAAGGUGUGAUUCCGUCUGGGGAUGAGCCCACCUCCUAUUAGCUAGUUGUUAGGGUAAUGGCCUAACAAGGCAUUGAUGGGUAGCUGGUGUGAGAGCACGACCAGCCUCACUGGCACUGAGACACUGGCCAGACACCUACGGGUGGCUGCAGUCGAGAAUCUUCGGCAAUGGACGAAAGUCUGACCGAGCGACGCCGCGUGCGGGAUGAAGGCCUUCGGGUUGUAAACCGCUGUCGUAGGGGAUCAAGUGUACGAGGGUACUCCCUCGUAUUUGAGAGAUCCUAGGAGGAAGGGGAGGCUAAGCUCGUGCCAGCAGCCGCGGUAAGACGAGCUCCCCAAACGUUAUUCGGUAUUACUGGGCUUAAAGAGUUCGUAGGCGGUUCUGUUAGUGAGGUGUGAAAGCCCUCGGCUUAACCGAGGAAUUGCGCUUCAAACUGCAGGGCUUGAGGGAGGUAGGGGUAUGCGGAACAGAUGGUGGAGCCGGUGAAAUGCGUUGAUAUCAUCUGGAACACCGGUGGCGAAAGCGGAUACUGGACCUUUUCUGACGCUGAGGGAACGAAAGCUAGGGUAGCGAACGGGA
rnacentral:rRNA from 1 species